ACAGUCACAUCACGUUGAAACACCGCUUCCCAUAUGAUCACCGGAGUUAAGCAAUGUCGAGCCUGGUCAGUACCUUGAGGGUCACAGCUUGGGAAUGCCAGGUGCUAUAA